rnacentral:rRNA from 1 species
AUUGAACGCUGGCGGCAGGCCUAACACAUGCAAGUCGAGCGGACGAAGGAAGAUUGCGCUUGGAUUAAGCGGCGGACGGGCGGGUAAGGAACAGGAAUAUGCCCUGCAGUGGGGGAUGAGGUCAGGAAAGGAGCGCUAAUAUAGUAUACGUCAAGAUGGUGAAAGGGGGGGAUCAUCGGAGAACACGCUAUCAGCUGAGCCUAAGUCGGAUUAGCUAGUUGGUGGGGUAAGGGCCUACCAAGGCGACGAUCCGUAACUGGUCUGAGAGGAUGAUCAGUCACACUGGAACUGAGACACGGUCCAGACUCCUACGGGAGGCAGCAGUGGGGAAUAUUGGACAAUGGGCGAAAGCCUGAUCCAGCCAUGCCGCGUGUGUGAAGAAGGUCUUCGGAUUGUAAAGCACUUUAAGUUGGGAGGAAGGGCAGUAAGUUAAUACCUUGCUGUUUUGACGGUACCAACAGAAUAAGCACCGGCUAACUUCGUG